rnacentral:rRNA from 1 species
GUGGGGAAUAUUGCACAAUGGGGGAAACCCUGAUGCAGCGACGCCGCGUGAGUGAAGAAGCGUUUCGGCGCGUAAAGCUCUGUCAGCGGGGAAGAAACACGGUUCGCGAGAGCCGCGGACGGUACCCGACCAAGAAGCCCCGGCUAACUACGUGCCAGCAGCCGCGGUAAUACGUAGGGGGCAAGCGUUAUCCGGAUUCACUGGGUGUAAAGGGAGCGUAGACGGCGAGACAAGUCUGGAGUGAAAGGCCGGGGCCCAACCCCGGGACUGCUCUGGAAACUGCCUGGCUGGAGUACAGGAGAGGUAAGUGGAAUUCCUAGUGUAGCGGUGAAAUGCGUAGAUAUUAGGAGGAACACCAGUGGCGAAGGCGGCUUACUGGACUGUAACUGACGUUGAGGCUCGAAAGCGUGGGGAGCAAACAGGA